rnacentral:rRNA from 1 species
AUUGAACGCUGGCGGCAUGCCUAACACAUGCAAGUCGAACGGCAGCACAGCAGUAGCAAUACUGUGGGUGGCGAGUGGCGGACGGGUGGGGAAUACGUCGGAACGUGCCCAGUAGUGGGGGAUAGCCCGGCGAAAGCCGGAUUAAUACCGCAUACGACCUACGGGUGAAAGCAGGGGAUCGCAAGACCUUGCGCCAUUGGAGCGGCCGAUGUCAGAUUAGGUUGUUGGUGGGGUAAAGGCCUACCAAGCCGACGAUCUGUAGCUGGUCUGAGAGGACGACCAGCCACACUGGGACUGAGACACGGCCCAGACUCCUACGGGAGGCAGCAGUGGGGAAUUUUGGACAAUGGGCGCAAGCCUGAUCCAGCCAUGCCGCGUGCGGGAAGAAGGGCCUUCGGGUUGUAAA